AUUCAAUCUAGAUUAGAUUGUGUUCGAUCAGAUCAUAAUUUUUUUUAUAUAGUCUUCACAAUUCAGCCAAGAAAGCUGUGUAAGAAAGAUCUCAAGCCUUUAGAUUUAUUGUUAGUGUGAUCUUUGGGUGAGAGUAGACAUCUGUUUUGGAUCUUGCAUAAGGUAACUGGGAGCUGGGGAAGAUUUUGAAAACUUCAGGAGAAGAGUCUGUUCUUGCCUUACCUGAGGGAAAAGUUUUAAAAGUCAAAACAGAGACUCUAGUGCCUGCAAAUCAUGAUAUUCUCGAUGGAGUAGAUGAUCUUAUGCAACUAAGUUACUUAAAUGAGCCAGCAGUGAGGUAAAAAUUCUUCUUUAGCUCAUAUGCUUCUCUAUAUCUGGUCUCGCUUCUUCUGCCUCUCGGUUUAUGUGACAAUGUACCUCAAUGAUUGUCAAAGAACU